rnacentral:lncRNA from 1 species
GCAGUGUUUAAAUUGCUUUUCUUUAAUCAAUUCGCACAUAUUUGUUGGGACAUUUAGCAAAAUGGGAAAUGGUAGAGUUGCCCAGUUUUGCCGAGCUCUAAGCUUGGAAGCAGAGCCGGCUACCGCGUUCAGGUUUCACGAGAAGCCCAGACUCAGGGUGAAUCCUGAAGGUUGAUCCAUCAUAUAAGCUUCCUCCAUCUCCCUCUGUGCAGGGCUGACUGGAGAAACGCUUAAAUAAGAAGAAAGCUGCAAGGUGGGGGCGGGAGCAUGUACAGCUGUGGGUCAUUAGCAAUAAUCACGGCCCGCCGGCAGGAGAGGAAGCCGAGCGUGGGGACAAGGGAGAGGCUUGGUCACCAGGAUAAAGAACUCAGUGUAAAAGAUCUGGCCGCAACCCUGAAUUUGCCAGCUUCGGUGUAGAUUGUUGCACUGGGGCGUGAGAAGGAAAGCAGAGCAUCCAUGGUUUAGAGGGAAAAAGUAAGUUCAGCGGAAAAUACUGUUUAGAUUUGGUUUUGUCUGGUUUUUUUUUUUUUUUUAAUCAGUCCUACAAGACCAGGAUUGAAGAGACUUGGUGUGAAAAUAAUUUAUAUACAAAGCCAGAGGAGCUGGGUGACCCACAAGCUUAUGUGGGCAUCACUGAGGCUUGGGUUAUUCUGAGUUAAUAGACUCGCGAUAUUUGCCCUGCACUCAGCCCGAG